rnacentral:rRNA from 1 species
GAUGAACGCUGGCGGCGUGCCUAAUACAUGCAAGUCGAACGGAAACACGAGGCACUUUCCUGCUUUACUUUCGCGUCGGGCGGGGGAGUGACAUGUGUGGAACCUUGCUUGAUGGCUGGGGUUACUUCGUGGAACCGGUGGCAAUACCGGCUUAUAUACGCAACCGCAUGGUGCAGUAGUUUAGGGCGGUUUGGCUUUCACUUUUAGCUGAUUCCACUCGGGAUUAGCUAGUUGGUCAGGUAACGGCUUACCAAGGCAACGAUUCGUAGCCGACCUGAGAGGGUGAUCGGCCACACUGGAACUGAGACACGGUCCAGACUCCUACGGGAGGCAGCAGUAGGGAAUAUUCCACAAUGGGCGAAAGCCUGACGCAGCCACGCCGCGUGUAUGAAGAAGGUCUUCGGAUUGUAAAACUCUGUCAGCAGGGAGGAAGAAAUGAGAAUGAAUACCUGUACGCAUUGACGGUACCCACAGAGAAAGCACCGGCUAACUCCGUG